AAAUAGAAGCAUUCUACAUACUGCAAGUCUAAGAGCCUAGUGGAAAAUAGUCUAAUUGUUGCAGUGCUCCUUGCCAGCUCUUGAUUGUCCUCCCUCUGGUAUGUAUAUGCAUUACAAUCUCUCUACAGAUACUGUUCUUUUUGAGUACUCCCCCUUAAAAUCUAAUCACAUUCUUUUCCCUCCAAAUUGUGUACACCAGCACACCAAAUACACAUGUAACAAUUGCCUAGUGACCAGAUUUCUUUUUUGCACCUCUGUUAAUCCAUUGGACCUCAUCUUACCAAGCCUGAAUAGGUCUAGUAUGGCCUAACCAUUUGAGUAGCCUAGUCCAUAUUUCUCUUACUAUUGGACAGUCAAAAAAUAAGUGUUUAAAUAGUUCAUCAGAUUGCUUACAGAAAACACAUUGCUGGGACACUUGAACUCCAAAUUUGAUGAGUCUGUCCAUUGUUGCUAAUCUCUUCUGUAGUGCCAGCCAUAGUAUGAAUUUAUACCUAGGGUGCAUAUGAGGUUGCAUAGUGAUACUCUUCCAAAGUACCUUUUGUAGUUGAGGAAGCUGCAUGUGGUAUAGCUUGCUUAUACUGAACUUCCCUCCUUUUUGUAGUUGGACAAGUUUGUUAACCAGAUCCCCAUGAAUCCCAUGUAAUUCAAGAAUAAGGUUCCUUGUCUCCAUUAUCUUUCUGACCACCCAAGCAGCAUUCUUUGGUAUUGGACUACUUUCCACUGUCCUAUUUCUUAUGUAGAAUGUGUGAACCCAUCGGAUCCAUAAGUUGUCCUUCUUCAUUGUAAUCGCAGGUUUGCAACUGCUACUUUGUUCCCGUAGUACAUGUUAAUUACAUUUUGGCCACCUGCAGCUUGUGGCCAGCAUACUCUGUCUCAAGCAACUAGUGCUUUCUUGGUGAUAGUUAAUGUGCCAGACCAUAAAAAUGAUCUACACAUGAUUUCAAUCAUCUUCAAUAUCUUCUUAGGCAGCAGAAAGAUUUGAGCUCAGUAUGAUUGUACCCCAAACAAGACUGAUUUAAUUAACUGGAGCCACCAGCAUAUGAAAGCAAUUUGGAUGUCCAACAGUUGAUCUUCUAUGUAAUCUUCUCUAUUAAUGGCCAUCAUUGGAUAAUAGACAGCUUCUUGGAUGCUAGUGGUACACCUAGGUAUCUAAAUGUCAUAGUACCUUCAGUGUAUCCCAACUCUUACAUAAUGUCUUGCUUUGUGCUAUCUGAGAUACCUGCUAGGUAGAUGGAACUUUUUUCUGCAUUGGCCUGGAGGCAGAUGAGGUAGAGAACUUGAGGAAUGUCUGUUGCAAUAGUUUGAUGGAUGUAAUGUCAGAUUUAUAGAACAUCAACAGGUCAUCCGCAAAACAAAUGUGAAUUGCUCCCAGUUUCUUACAUCUAGGAUGGAAUUUAAAGUUCCUAUUCUUUGCCAGCGGUGUCAGUUCCCUCUAUAGAUACUCCAUGGCUAUGACAAAUAAAUAAGGGUACAUAGGGUCCCCUUGUCGAAUGCCUUUUCUUCCUUGAAAUGGUUUUGUCAGUCCUCCAUUCAUGUUGAGGGAGUAGGUCACUGUGGUGAUGCAUUCCAUUAUCCAACUGACAAAUCUAUAAGAAAAUCCAAGCUCUAGUACCAUUUUUUCAAGGAAACUCCAAUCUAAAGUAUCAUAAGCUUUCAUGAAGUCUACUUUUAAAACACAUCUUAGGGAGAUCCCUUUUCAGUUACAUCCUUUGAAUAACUCAUGAGUAAACAAGAUGUUAUCUGCAAUGCUUCUUCCUUCAAUAAAGGAUGAUUGUGACUUCCCAAUGAGAUCUCCUAUUAUACUCUUUAUUCUGUUGGUGAUUACUCUGGUUAUUAUCUUGUAUAGAGUGGUGCAACAAGCUAUAGGUCUGAAUUCAUUUACUUGGCUGGGAUUUGGCACUUUUGGAAUAAUAGUGACUGUUGUACAAUUCAUUCUUCUAUGCAUUUUGCCUGUUUCAAAGAAUUCCUUGACUGCAGCACAUACUUCAAACCCAAGUAUAGUCCAUUGUGUUGUGAAGAACUCAAUUGGAAAAUUAUCUACCCCUGGGGCUUUGUCAUGAGGCAUAUCUUUUAUAGCAGUUAGGAUCUCCUCAUUAGUUACAUUCUUAAUCAGUGCCUCCUUAUAUUGUUGGUCAAGGCAUCUCCCUUGUCUAACCACUGCGGCAUCUAGACAUUUAUGAGUUUCUCCACUUUCUCCCAUAAGGUUGGCGAAGAAAGAGAUAAACUCCUCUUCUAUUUGGACUGGAUCUAUUAGCUUAAUACCACUUGCAUUGUAUAUGGAUGCAAUGUGGUUUCUGCUUGUCCUCAUUUUUUAUUGAGCAUGGAAGUAUUUUGUAUUUGAGUCACCACAUUCAAUCCAAGUGGCCCUUGACUUAUGCUGUAAUACCUGUUCUUCUAUAUGACUCUAUUUUUCCAUUUCUGUCAAGAUUUCUUUUUCCUGAUUGAACAAGCUCUGUUCUAGAGGAAAAUUCUUGAGUUCCCCCUGUACUAUCUCUCGUUUCUGUCUAGCCUGAUCAAGUCUCUGCUGAUAGAAAACCAUAUAUUUGUUCAGGUCUUUAAGUCCAUUUUAGAGUUCUUCAAUUUCUUCCAGAUUUUGUUCAUGGGUUCUUCUUGAGUUCCUUGAUGUCAUACUUCUUGCACUAUGCUCCUGAACUCUGGAUGCUCCAUGUCAUUUUUGUAAAGUUUGAAAGGCUUAGGGUGCAGUCCUUUCUUAUGUUGACUGAUAUGAGGAUUGGGGAGUGAUCAGACACUACUGGAUCCAUGAACUCAGCUUCUAUGUGGCUAUAUUGUUGCAGCCACACAUAGUUUCUGAUUGCCCAAUCUAUCUUGCUAUACACCCUUUUAUCUUCAUGUUGUUUGUUGCACCAUGUAAAGAACCAGCCAAAAUUAAAAUUCUUUUCUAUGUGUAUAUCUAUAUAUAAAUUCUAUUAAAAAAUUCUAGGCCUCAAUAAUGUGGCUUCAGGCCACGAAUUUUAUUGAGACGCUAUUGCUGAGCUCAUUGUAAUUUUAUAAUUAUGAGUUUAAAUAGUAAAAAAUAUUUAUUGAAACUUAGUGCCAAGAUAUUUUUUGUCUCUA
rnacentral:lncRNA from 1 species